AGUUUGAUCCUGGCUCAGAAUCAACGCUGGCGGCGUGCCUCAGACAUGCAAGUCGAACGAUUAAAGCUCUCUUCGGAGAGUGCAUAGAGUGGCGCACGGGUGAGUAACACGUAAGUAAUCUACCCUCGAGUGGGGAAUAACAACCGGAAACGGUUGCUAAUACCGCAUAAUGCAGCGGCACCGCAAGGUGACAGUUGUUAAAGAUUUAUCGCUUGAGGAGGAGCUUGCGGCAGAUUAGCUAGUUGGUAAGGUAAUGGCUUACCAAGGCUACGAUCUGUAACCGGUCUAAGAGGACGGUCGGUCACACUGACACUGAAUAACGGGUCAGACUCCUACGGGAGGCAGCAGUCGGGAAUUUUGGGCAAUGGGCGAAAGCCUGACCCAGCAACGCCGCGUGAAGGAUGAAGUAUUUCGGUAUGUAAACUUCGAAAGAAUAGGAAGAAUAAAUGACGGUACUAUUUAUAAGGUCCGGCUAACUACGUGCCAGCAGCCGCGGUAAUACGUAGGGACCAAGCGUUGUUCGGAUUUACUGGGCGUAAAGGGCGCGUAGGCGGCGUGGUAAGUCACUUGUGAAAUCUCUGAGCUUAACUCAGAACGGCCAAGUGAUACUGCUGUGCUAGAGUGCAGAAGGGGCAAUCGGAAUUCUUGGUGUAGCGGUGAAAUGCGUAGAUAUCAAGAGGAACACCUGAGGUGAAGACGGGUUGCUGGGCUGACACUGACGCUGA
rnacentral:rRNA from 1 species